rnacentral:rRNA from 1 species
AUGGAAGUAACUCCUUCUAAGCUAAAUAUCACCACGAGACCGAUAGCGAACAAGUACCGUGAGGGAAAGUUGAAAAGCACUCUGAAUAGAGAGUCAAAAAGUACGUGAAACUGCCUAGGGCUCAAACCCGUUGAACUCGAUUAUCCGAGCAGGGAUAUUCACAUGCGGUUGGUCGGCGACGGCAGACCGCAGGGCACUUAUCCUCUGCUUCACUAGGACAUUGCGAUCCAUUACGAAACGGCCUUUGCUGGCAAUGAGCUCGACAUCCGGUCCCGACCAGUUGCUUGUCCCACCGUAGCGGCACUCAGUUCUGAAGGCCUGUACCGCGAGCCGGGGCUUAUUGGUGUGGUGUACCGUCGAGCGCGUGAUGGAUUUCCGCGAACACCGUCUUGGAUGCUUGCAUCCACCCACAGUCUGGGUGACGGAUCGGUCGAUCGGCAAUGAACAAAUCGAGGUACCUUCGGGACCCGUCUUGAAACACGAA